GACGAACGCUGGCGGCGUGCUUAACACAUGCAAGUCGAACGGAAAGGCCCUGCUUGCAGGGUACUCGAGUGGCGAACGGGUGAGUAACACGUGGGUGAUCUGCCCUGCACUUCGGGAUAAGCCUGGGAAACUGGGUCUAAUACCGGAUAGGAGCCAUUUUUAGUGUGAUGGUUGGAAAGUUUUUUCGGUGUAGGAUGAGCUCGCGGCCUAUCAGCUUGUUGGUGGGGUAAUGGCCUACCAAGGCGGCGACGGGUAGCCGGCCUGAGAGGGUGGACGGCCACCUUGGGACUGGGAUACGGCCCCGACCCCUACGGGGGGCAGCAGUGGGGAAUAUUGCCCCAUGGGCGCAAGCCCGAUGCAGCGACGCCGCGUGGGGGAUGACGGCCUUCGGGUUGUAAACUCCUUUCGCUAGGGACGAAGCUUUUUGUGACGGUACCUAGAUAAGAAGCACCGGCUAACUACGUG
rnacentral:rRNA from 1 species